GGAUGCAUGAACAACCUGGCUGUGACAUCUGUCACCCCUUGGAUUGCCAGGGUUGGUUUGGCUGAUCUGACUGGCCAGACUGGCUACACUCCUGUCCCUGCUUCCCUCACAGCUUCAUGUGCUUCCCGCUGGAGGAUAUUCCUCAAACAGAGGCAGAUUGGUCUUUGGGAAAGGGUAUUGGUAACUGUAUUCCCCAGCUAGAAACUGCAAAUGAGAUCUUGAAAAUAUUUUUCAUUCUUAUCAUUCAGUAGGUAAAACUGGAUAUUCUAUUUUCAACAUACAACUGUUCCUUUUCCGUAUAACUGAAACUGCUU
rnacentral:snRNA from 1 species